rnacentral:rRNA from 1 species
AUUGAACGCUGGCGGCAGGCUUAACACAUGCAAGUCGAGCGGGGUGAUGGUGCUUGCACUAUCACUUAGCGGCGGACGGGUGAGUAAUGCUUAGGAAUCUGCCUAUUAGUGGGGGACAACAUCUCGAAAGGGAUGCUAAUACCGCAUACGGCCUACGGGAGAAAGCAGGGGAUCACUUGUGACUUUGCGCUAACAGAUGAGCCUAAGUCGGAGUAGCUAGUUGGUGGGGUAAAGGCCUACCAAGGCGACGAUCUGUAGCGGGUCUGAGAGGAUGAUCCGCCACACUGGGACUGAGACACGGCCCAGACUCCUACGGGAGGCAGCAGUGGGGAAUAUUGGACAAUGGGGGGAACCCUGAUCCAGCCAUGCCGCGUGUGUGAAGAAGGCCUUAUGGUUGUAAAGCACUUUAAGCGAGGAGGAGGCUCUUUUGGUUAAUACCCAAGAUGAGUGGACGUUACUCGCAGAAUAAGCACCGGCUAACUCUGUGCCAGCAGCCGCCGUAA